rnacentral:rRNA from 1 species
GACGACCGCUGGCGGCGUGCUUAACACAUGCAAGUCGAACGGAAAGGCCCUGCUCUUGUGGGGUGCUCGAGUGGCGAACGGGUGAGUAACACGUGAGUAACCUGCCCUUGACUUUGGGAUAACAUCAGGAAACUGGGGCUAAUAUCGGAUAGGAUCUCCUGCAGCAUGGUGGGGGUUGGAAAGUUUCGGCGGUUGGGGCUGGAAUGGCGGCUUACCCGCUUGUUGGUGGGGUAGUGGCUUACCAAGGCUUUGACGGGUAGCCGGCCUGAGAGGGUGGACGGCCCCAUGAGGACUGAGAUAGGGAGCAGCCGCGUACGGGAGGCAACGGUGGAGAGUAUUGCACAGUGGGCGGGAGCCUGAGGCGACGGCGCCGCGUGCGGUAUGACGGCCUUCGGGUUGUGAACCGCUGUCGCCUGUGACGAAGCGGGAUUGACGGUAAUGGGUAAAGAAGCACCGGCUAACUACGUG